GCCAGUGGUUGCUCAGCCGUGGUACGGGACGGUGCUGCAGUCGGGCGCGGUGUGUUCGGCGUCGCGGAGCUCGGCCUUAGAUCGGCCGCUGGGUCACGAGUGAUUUUCUCGUGUUAUUCGAGUGUGUAGUGAAACUAGUCCUGGCGGUGAUGCAAGAGUAGUCACCUCAUUUUGCAGAUAUAUUGUAUUUAUUUAUUUUUUGUUUGGAAUUUUUUAUUUUUCAUUCUUGCAAAUCAUGAAAAGUCGCACUGACUAACCGCAAAAAUGUGAAGUCGAAAAACAAAGAUUCCGGAGUUACAAUGUGGGGCGUGUGUCCCGAUUGAGCGGGUAUGCGCUUAAAAACUAUUAUGAUCUAUUACGAUACCUUGCCAGUGAACAAUUAGAUUUUCUAUUGUGAUCAAGAGCAAAACUAGAGAUGAGCAUGGAAUGGUUACGAUGGUGCUGCGUCGCCCUCCUCGUGCUUCAGUGGGCAGUUAAUGAGCCUCUAUCGCGAUGACGUCAGAGUGAAGGUAACGGUGUCGAGGCGAUGAUACUGACAAAGCGGCGGUAACGAAGUCAUCAGCAAGUAGACGAGGCCGGAGUCGAAAACGCGAAAAGAUAAUGACGUCAUCGCGGGAACUGCGGCGUCGGUGUCUAGCGAAGGAGCCAAGGCCAUCCUCUCUAAGAAUUGUUUCGCUUUGUAUAAAUUUAUGGGCGGCAUUAUGAUAAUGGCGGCGUCGUGGAUGUAAAUUUCUUCAGCACAAUAAAAUGUUCGGCUCGAGA